GAAGUUUCUUGACAGGAAAGAAAGACAAGGAGAAGGAGAAAGAAACAUGUAAAACUAAUCAGAAAUCAGCAACUAGUAUUGAGAAUCCGGCGACCCCAGUUUUGAUCCCACCAACUACUCCAAAAGAAAAAAGAAGAUGGAGUUUUCGCAGGUCUUCAGUCACAGCAGCAACUCCCAGGGACAUGAAAUCUACAGAAGCAACCGCAUUACCACAACCAGAGGUUCAGGAUAAAUUGGAUUCGGAAAAUGAGCAGAAGAGGCACGCAAUGGCAAUGGCAGCUGCUACAGCUGCUGCUGCUGAUGCAGCUGUGGCAGCUGCACAAGCUGCAGCGGCUGUGAUCCGUCUAACCGCAACUGCCCCUGGAAGAACAAGUGCGAUUGAAGAGGCUGCUGCCAUAAAGAUUCAGUCUGUCUUCCGUUCUUAUUUGGCAAAAAAAGCAUUAUAUGCAUUGAAAGCACUGGUGAAGUUGCAGGCACUGGU
rnacentral:misc_RNA from 1 species